rnacentral:rRNA from 1 species
UACGGGGGGGGCAAGCGUUGUUCGGAAUUACUGGGCGUAAAGGGCUCGUAGGUGGUCAACUAAGUCGGACGUGAAAUCCCUCGGCUUAACCGGGGAACUGCGUCCGAUACUGGAUGACUUGAGUUCGGGAGAGGGAUGCGGAAUUCCAGGUGUAGCGGUGAAAUGCGUAGAUAUCUGGAGGAACACCGGUGGCGAAGGCAGCAUCCUGGACCGGCAUUGACGCUGAGGCGCGAAAGCCAGGGGAGCAAACGGG